UGCACUUUCACAUUGCCCAAGGACCCAGCACCCUAACUUAAUCUGAAGAACAGCACUUCAUCUUCCAUCUGGACAUGUUGCUGCAUUCUGGAUUCAAUGUCAAGUUCUUUCAGCAGACGCAGCUCAUCCAGCUUGUUGUCGAUGGAGCGGAC